rnacentral:rRNA from 1 species
UAGCAAUACUGAGUAGCGCACGGGUGAGUAACACGUGGAUAAUCUCCCUUUGAGUGGGGAAUAACCUUUCGAAAGAAGGGCUAAUACCGCAUAAGACCACAGGAACAUAAGUUCAAGGGGUCAAAGGGGGCGUAAGCUCUCGCUUAAAGAUGAGUCCGCGCCCGAUUAGCUAGUUGGUGAGGUAAUGGCUCACCAAGGCAUUUAUCGGUAACUGGUCUGAGAGGAUGACCAGUCACACUGGAACUGAGACACGGUCCAGACUCCUACGGGAGGCAGCAGUAGGGAAUAUUGCGCAAUGGGCGAAAGCCUGACGCAGCGACGCCGCGUGAGUGAUGAAGGCCUUCGGGUCGUAAAGCUCUGUUGUACGGGAAGAAGAUUGCAGUGCUAAUACCAUUGCAAUUUGACGGUACCGUAUAAGAAAGGACCGGCUAACUUCGUGCCAGCAGCCGCGGUAAGACGAGGGGUCCUAGCGUUGUUCGGAAUCACUGGGCGUAAAGCGUUUGUAGGCGGCUCUAUAAGUCGGGUGUGAAAUCCCAUGGCUCAACCAUGGAAGUGCAUUCGAAACUGCAGAGCUUGAAUAUGGUAGAGGAGAGUAGAAUUCCAGGUGUAGUGGUGAAAUACGUAGAUAUCUGGAGGAAUACCGGUGGCGAAGGCGGCUCUCUGGACCAAUAUUGACGCUG